AUCAUUGUUGCCGACCUAAUUGUGUGCCACCUUUUAGAACGACGAGCAGCAGAAUUUCUAUUAGCGGGUUUGGCAACUUUGGCACGAAAUUGAUAACGAAAUGCAGUUACAGUAACUAUCUCAACCUGCCGGGAAAAAGGAAGGUUUCCGUUUUGGUCGUGUACAAAUGUUGGCCUUGUUCGAUAAUAAACAAUUGCCGGAAGAUACCAAAACACCAAAAAUAUACAUUCUGAGGAUCCUAAACUGUAUAUCCAAUACCAAAAAGAGAGAGGUGGAGGCAAGAAAAUCGACGUUAGUUUUAAUGAAGGAAAGAAGAUUAAAACUUUCUCUCUUCUGAAUAGGAAUACCAAUAUACGUAUAAUGCCAAUUCAUUUACGGCUCUGUCAUAGGCCAACAAAUAUAUCUCUCCACUUGGGAAGUUUAUCUAAGCAGCGGGUUGUCAAUCGACCUACCGUUAGUAUAACAAUCAUGCAUCAUAAAAGGUUGA